rnacentral:rRNA from 1 species
ACUCAAAUGAAUAGACGGGGGCCCGCACAAGCGGUGGAUCAUGUGGUUUAAUUCGAAGCAACGCGAAAAACCUUACCUGGGUUUGACAUCUCUGGACAACCGUAGAGAUACGGCUUUCGUAGCAAUACGACCAGAAGACAGGUGCUGCAUGGCUGUCGUCAGCUCGUGGGGUGACCUGUUGGGUUAAGUCCCGCAACGAGCGCAACCCCUGUCCUUAGUUGCCAGCAUUAAGUUGGGCUCUCUAGGGAGACUGCCGUGGUUAACACGGAGGAAGGUGGGGAUGACGUCAAGUCCUCAUGGCCUUUAUAUCCAGGGCGACACACGUGAUACAAUGGACGGUACAAAGGGACGCCAAGUGGUGACACGGAGCUAAUCUCAAAAAGCCGUUCUCAGUUCGGAUUGGAGUCUGCAACCCGACUCCAUGAAGUUGGAAUCGCUAGUAAUCGCGGAUCAGCACGCCGCGGUGAAUACGUUCUCGGGCCUUGCACACACCGCCCGU